rnacentral:rRNA from 1 species
UCGCUGUUGGUGAGGUAUGGCUCCCAAGGCGACGACGGGUAGCCGGCCUGAGAGGGCGACCGGCCACACUGGGACUGAGACACGGCCCAGACUCCUACGGGAGGCAGCAGUGGGGAAUAUUGCACAAUGGGCGAAAGCCUGAUGCAGCGACGCCGCGUGAGGGAUGACGGCCUUCGGGUUGUAAACCUCUUUCAGCAGGGAAGAAGCGAAAGUGACGGUACCUGCAGAAGAAGCGCCGGCUAACUACGUGCCAGCAGCCGCGGUAAUACGUAGGGCGCGGAGCGUUGUCCGGAAUUAUUGGGCGUAAAGAGCUCGUAGGCGGCUUGUCACGUCGGUUGUGAAAGCCCGGGGCUUAACCCCGGGUCUGCAGUCGAUACGGGCAGGCUAGAGUUCGGUAGGGGAGAUCGGAAUUCCUGGUGUAGCGGUGAAAUGCGCAGAUAUCAGGAGGAACACCGGUGGCGAAGGCGGAUCUCUGGGCCGAUACUGACGCUGAGGAGCGAAAGCGUGGGGAGCGAACAGGAUUAGAUACCCUGGUAGUCCACGCCGUAAACGGUGGGCACUAGGUGUGGGCGACAUUCCACGUCGUCCGUGCCGCACCUAACGCAUUAAGUGCCCCGCCCUGGGGAGUACGGGCCGCAAGGCUAAAAACUCAAAGGAAAUUGACGGGGGGCCCGCCACAAGCGGCGGAACAUGUGGGCUUAAUUCGACCCCA